GUAUAGAUUUUUAUACACAAAACAUUCUAUUAACAUACAUUGGGGCAAAUGAAGAAUCAACAUAGACCUGAAAGGUCUACAAAGAGUGCACAGGUGGAGAUAUAAAGAUGACAAGGCGUGCACAUGCUCCCUAGAGAACCAGCAGCAACCCAUCAGGUUUAUUUCGAUAAUGAUCCUUCCGCAGGUUCACCUACGGAAA
rnacentral:misc_RNA from 1 species